rnacentral:tmRNA from 1 species
GGGGGCGAUCAGGGUUCGACGGGAGUAAUGAGACGAAGGUGGCAUGUACGGGACGCCGUUGGCCCGUUAAAAAACGGCACUAUUCCAUAAUCGCCAACGAUUAUGAAAUCGCUGUAGCUGCUUAACUAACCCUUAAGCCAGUUACCGUCUUCUCCUCUCCCGUCCACGGGGGGGAUGCGGACGUCAGCUAAGUGGACUGGCCGCGCGGUUUCCGUUUCCGGAUCGCGGGGUGAGAACUUAGGAAACUGGCCGGCAUGGAAUCCUGUCUGUGGGAGUUAGUGCCGGUGAGAUCCAGAACAUAGACUAAACAUGUAGAAGCCUUCUGUUGACGACUUUCGGACGGGGGUUCGAUUCCCCCCGCCUCCACCA